UGGGGAAUUUUGGACAAUGGGCGAAAGCCUGAUCCAGCAAUGCCGCGUGUGUGAAGAAGGCCUUCGGGUUGUAAAGCACUUUUGUCCGGAAAGAAAUCCUUGGCUCUAAUACAGUCGGGGGAUGACGGUACCGGAAGAAUAAGCACCGGCUAACUACGUGCCAGCAGCCGCGGUAAUACGUAGGGUGCAAGCGUUAAUCGGAAUUACUGGGCGUAAAGCGUGCGCAGGCGGUUUGCUAAGACCGAUGUGAAAUCCCCGGGCUCAACCUGGGAACUGCAUUGGUGACUGGCAGGCUAGAGUAUGGCAGAGGGGGGUAGAAUUCCACGUGUAGCAGUGAAAUGCGUAGAGAUGUGGAGGAAUACCGAUGGCGAAGGCAGCCCCCUGGGCCAAUACUGACGCUCAUGCACGAAAAGCGUGGGGGAGCAAAACAGGAUUAGAUACCCUGGUAGUCCACGCCCUAAAACGAUGUCAACUAGUUGUUGGGGAUUCAUUUCCUUAGUAACGUAGCUAACGCGUGAAGUUGACCGCCUGGGGGAGUACGGUCGCAAGAUUAAAACUUAAAUGAAUUGACGGGGUCAUAGCUGUUUCCU
rnacentral:rRNA from 1 species